rnacentral:rRNA from 1 species
CGGGGUGAGUAAUGUCUGGGAAACUGCCUGAUGGAGGGGGAUAACUACUGGAAACGGUAGCUAAUACCGCAUAACGUCGCAAGACCAAAGAGGGGGACCUUCGGGCCUCUUGCCAUCGGAUGUGCCCAGAUGGGAUUAGCUAGUAGGUGGGGUAAUGGCUCACCUAGGCGACGAUCCCUAGCUGGUCUGAGAGGAUGGCCAGCCACACUGGAACUGAGACACGGUCCAG